rnacentral:rRNA from 1 species
GAUGAACGCUGGCGGCGUGCCUAAUACAUGCAAGUCGAGCGAACAGACGAGGAGCUUGCUCCUCUGACGUUAGCGGCGGACGGGUGAGUAACACGUGGAUAACCUACCUAUAAGACUGGGAUAACUUUGGGAAACCGGAGCUAAUACCGGAUAAUAUAUUGAACCGCAUGGUUCAAUAGUGAAAGACGGUUUUGCUGUCACUUAUAGAUGGAUCCGCGCCGCAUUAGCUAGUUGGUAAGGUAACGGCUUACCAAGGCGACGAUGCGUAGCCGACCUGAGAGGGGGAUCGGCCACACUGGAGCUGAGCCGCGGCCCAGACUCCUAGGGGAGGCAGCAGUGGGGAAUCUUCCGAAAGGGGGGAAAGCCUGAGGGAGCACCGCAGCGGGGUGGAAGAAGGGCUUGGGGUGGGAAAACUUUUUUAUGAGGGAAAAACAAAUUGGGAAGUAACUAUGCAGGUCUUAGCGGAACCGAAAAAAAAAGCCCCGGCAAACUACGU